UACGAAGGGGGCUAGCGUUGCUCGGAAUUACUGGGCGUAAAGCGCACGUAGGCGGCUCUUUAAGUCGGGGGUGAAAUCCUGGAGCUCAACUCCAGAACUGCCUUCGAUACUGGCGAUCUUUGAGUCCGGGAGAGGUGGGUGGAACUGCGAGUGUAGAGGUGAAAUUCGUAGAUAUUCGCAAGAACACCAGUGGCGAAGGCGGCUCACUGGCCCGGUACUGACACUGAGGUGCGAAAGCGUGGGGAGCAAACAGG
rnacentral:rRNA from 1 species